CUCCUUAACCAGAGGCAUGUGCUCGCCCCGCUCAUCCACUCAACCCCAUGUGCACUCUUGAGAUGUGGCCCUCCGUAAUGGGAGCAGUUCCCUUUCACGAGGUCGAGCCGGGGCCGCAUCUCCCCCCUUCACACAAACCUAUCAAAAAGUAUCACAGAAUGUAACCUUGCGUUAAAUAAAUACAACUUUCAACAACGGAUCUCUUGGCUCUCGCAUCGAUGAAGAACGCAGCGAAAUGCGAUAAGUAAUGUGAAUUGCAGAAUUCAGUGAAUCAUCGAAUCUUUGAACGCACCUUGCGCUCCUUGGUAUUCCGAGGAGCAUGCCUGUUUGAGUGUCAUGAAAUUCUCAACUUCCCCCGCUGCUUUGCUGCAACGGUGGAAGCUUGGAUUUGGGGGUUUGCUGGCCCGUCACCGGGUUGGCUCCCCUUGAAUGCAUUAGCUAGACUCUCCGACUCGGAGUGGUUCGCGGUGUGAUAAUUAUCUACACCCCGGCAGUCGAGCUUCCAAUCGUCUUCGGACAGCUCUAUUGAUCUGACCUCAAAUCAGGUAGGACUACCCGCUGAACUUAAGCAUAUC
rnacentral:rRNA from 1 species